rnacentral:rRNA from 1 species
UACAGAGGUCUCAAGCGUUGCUCGGAAUCAUUGGGCGUAAAGGGUGCGUAGGCGGCGCGGUAAGUCGGGUGUGAAAUCUCGGAGCUUAACUCCGAAACUGCAUUCGAUACUGCCGUGCUUGAGGACUGGAGAGGAGACUGGAAUUUACGGUGUAGCGGUGAAAUGCGUAGAUAUCGUAAGGAAGACCAGUGGCGAAGGCGGGUCUCUGGACAGUUCCUGACGCUGAGGCACGAAGGUCAGGGGAGCAAACAGG